AUUGAACGCUGGCGGCAUGCCUUACACAUGCAAGUCGAACGGCAGCACGGGAGCAAUCCUGGUGGCGAGUGGCGAACGGGUGAGUAAUAUAUCGGAACGUGCCCAGUCGUGGGGAUAACGUAGCGAAAGCUACGCUAAUACCGCAUACGAUCUAUGGAUGAAAGCGGGGGGAUCGCAAGACCUCGCGCGAUUGGAGCGGCCGAUAUCAGAUUAGGUAGUUGGUGAGGUAAAGGCUCACCCAAGCCGACGAUCUGUAGCUGGUCUGAGAGGACGACCAGCCACACUGGGACUGAGACACGGGCCCAGACUCCUACGGGAGGCAGCAGUGGGGAAUUUUGGACAAUGGGCGCAAGCCUGAUCCAGCAAUGCCGCGUGCAGGAUGAA
rnacentral:rRNA from 1 species